CAAGACAAGAACAUGAGUAGGAUAGCAUGUGAACAAGCUAUCCUAACCUGCAGUUCACGUGAAAGUAUUCUUGUUUUACACUAAACACAUCCGAAUAUGAUCAUGGCUUAUGGGGUUAUAUAUGGGUGCAUGGAUACAUGAAGAACCCAUUAAAGUGUAGCUCAUUUAGCACUUGGAAGCCAUACAUAACCUGCAGUGGAGAAAGAGCUAAGCCCUGAACAGCCCUGAACAAACAUGGAGAAGAGAUUCUUUGGGGUUUUCUUGCUGCUGCUCAUUGUCUUGGCAUCUCAAGAGGCGAUCGUACCAACUGAGGCUAGGGUCUGUGAAUCACAGAGCCAUUAUUUUAAGGGACCAUGCCUGAGAGACCACAACUGUGCCAUGGUGUGUAGGAAUGAAGCUUUCUCCGGUGGACGGUGCAAAGGAGUCCGUCGCCGCUGUUUUUGCACUAAGCUUUGUUAAUUGAUGUGCAAUUACAUAUGCAACAACCUAACAGCCACUCUUUUUAGCUAGGACUGAGAGGCUGUUAGGAGUAAAACUCGAAAAUAAUUUAUGCUCUGUGUUGCUUUAUGAAUUUAAGACAGUUUCAGCUGCUAUUUUUCGUAAUUCACUUUUGAAAAUUGUUAUGAAUCAGAAAAUAUUGCUUGGUAGACCAAGCAUGAUUUACUUCUCAA